GACUUGCGCCCAUGGCCGCCUGCACAGCCAGCAGAAAUAGGGGGAGCGGAAGGCCCCACCCCACAGGCCAGAGAAGGGCCCUGGGCCGAGAGAAGACAAGAGCUGCCCAGAAGAUUAUGGAAAGCCCGAAGCACACAGAGCCCACCUGGAGAAGUGGAGGGGUGCUCAGACGCUGCCCGCAGGAGGCUUCCUUUUGCUGGAAAAUCAGUAUUAUUAAUGAAAAAUGGAAUAGUUCUUCGGUCUCCAUGUUCCUCUUUUCCUCACCUCGUCUCUUCUCCCACCCACUACCAUGGAGGGAAAUGACUGCUGAAUAGGAUUUAAAAUCUGAGCACCAUCGGAUGCCCUUGUAUCCAAUAGAUGUUACU
rnacentral:lncRNA from 1 species